CCUGGUUGAUCCUGCCAGUAGCAUAUGCUUGUCUCAAAGAUUAAGCCAUGCAUGUCUAAGUACGCACGGCCGGUACAGUGAAACUGCGAAUGGCUCAUUAAAUCAGUUAUGGUUCCUUUGGUCACUCGCUCCUCUCCUACUUGGAUAACUGUGGUAAUUCUAGAGCUAAUACAUGCCGACGGGCGCUGACCCCCUUCGCGGGGGGGAUGCGUGCAUUUAUCAGAUCAAAACCAACCCGGUCAGCCUCCUCCCGGCCCCGGCCGGGGGGCGGGCGCCGGCGGCUUUGGUGACUCUAGAUAACCUCGGGCCGAUCGCACGCCCCCCGUGGCGGCGACGACCCAUUCGAACGUCUGCCCUAUCAACUUUCGAUGGUAGUCGCUGUGCCUACCAUGGUGACCACGGGUGACGGGGAAUCAGGGUUCGAUUCCGGACAGGGAGCCUGAGAAACGGCUACCACAUCCAAGGAAGGCAGCAAGCACGCAAAUUACCCACUCCCGACCCGGGGAGGUAGUGACGAAAAAUAACAAUACAGGCCUCCUUCAAGGCCCUGUAAUUGGAAUG
rnacentral:rRNA from 1 species